CCUCACCUGAGCCCUCCUGGCUCCUGCUUAUGAACCCAGUAGCAGCUGUUGAGCUUGGAUUUAGGUUUUCAGUCUCUGUGUGAGUGACACUGGUGGUGGUGCCUUAGGUGAUUGUGGCACUGAAGGGGCUACUUUGCUUUCUUCUUCCUUGCACUCCUGUUGCUUCUUGGGAGUGGCUUAAUUCAGCAGUUGGCUGGCUGUUAGAUCUUCCCAGUGCAGUUGGUUCUUUGUGAAUAACUGAGCUGAGGGAAGCGAAUGUAGAGGCUGAUAUCAAUGUUCUGCUGUGCAAGGUGCUAUGAGGCAUGUUCUUCCUGGACUGCUGUAAGGUUGCUGGAGAUAAUUCUGUAACCCAUCCACCAGAUCAGUUUAAAAAGAAAAUGCAUUUACUGUACACUGGGGAAGCUGGAUGAAGAAGAGAUAUGGAAAAAGCCAGAAGACAAGUCUGGCAUUUCCACCCCUGCUGCUGAAAAGAGCCAGAUGCUCUGUGAUUGACCCAGGUGCAUGGGAUAAAAGCAGGCUGCCUUGGAGGAACAGGCUGCUUUCGUCAGGGAGCGCUGAGAGCUGGUGCUGCUGGAGGUGCACGACUGUCUGAAGUGUUUACAUCCUGGACUUCUGAAGUAAUAUCUGUAGGCCAUCACUUUGGGUUGAAAAUUGAUUUUAUUAGGUGAAAAUGAAAAUGAACUGAAGAAAUGAACUGCAAGCCACAUUGCUGCGCUUACAAAGUGAGUUCUCCAGCCUUGCAUGCCCGGAUGUAAUGAAUGCACAGAGACCACCUACUUUGAAUGCUCCUCUGAUUUUUCCACUUUCUUUAAAGUCUAAUAAUAUUGGUGAUGCAGGAUGAAAGCAAUUGUGAAAAGUGAAAAAGUCCUUGUUUGCCUAUCCUGUCAUCUGGGGUCUGUUUCACUGAAGCUGAAAAUGAAGGUAACUUGCCUUAAUGCUACAGGACAGCUUUUAGUCUAAUUGAACCAUGCAUUGGCAAGUACCCCGUAUUGAGCCUUCGGUCUGGGGUUAAUCCCUUUUAUUGGCCUGGGUGUGGGUUAUCAUCCCUUCUUAUCAAACAAGGAUCCCUUUCUUCUCGCUGAGGAUCAGAACUAAAAGCCAGUUGAGAAAGAAAUGACAGAUGCAAAGCACUAAGUUUCCCCCAUCUUUAAGCACCUCGUGCACCCACCAGGUGCUGUGUGCCAUGCACCCUCCAGCUUGCAGGGCUUGAGUGCCUCUUACUGCUGGGUAGUUCUCUCCCUUUCUCCCCUUUUACCUGUGAUUUUUUUUGUAGCAGCAGCUUUAAAAUAUGUAGACUUGGUUCAUUUGUUUUGCCCAGCAUUCUGUGAUCAGUAUGUCAGGUGAAAUUUAUAGGCAGUUGAGCAGCAUUUAAUAUUUGAACACCUGCUUCCACCUCCUCUUCUGGCACAGCUGUGUGAGCAGAGGUGUGUGUUACUGAGAGUGACUGGGUGGAGGUAAGACUUCUCUGGGGAAAAUAAAGAUGGCUUUAGGGAAAAAAUGAUGAGCAGUCCUUUGGAGAGAGGCAGCAACUCAGACUCCAGGAUCACCUUUGUCCUUUCUGACCUUAAACUCUAGGAAUCCACUCAAAUCACCUUGGCCAAGAAUCCCCUAUGUUUCUAGGGAACGGUUUUACCAUGAUUGUGAUCGUAAGUCAAGUCACGGAGAAGUAAAUAAAAGGACAUAUGCUGCCUAUUUUAACUGCAGUCAAAAAGCUUAAAAUGAAUGAUUAUGACAUGUCCAUGAAGACUGUUCUGUACACACUUCUCGUUUAUCCCAUGUUGGCUUUUGAAAGUCACUUAUUGUGAUGCUCUGUUCUUUGAAUACAGUUUAAAACUACCAAAAAAAAAAAAAAAUCCCACUUUGUUUCCCUUCCUAUUUGGUGCCUGUCUUGGCCUUUGGAAGAAGCUUCUGUGAUGGAAUGAAUAUCUGAACAGGUUUUAUGACAAUGACAGGAGGAAAAAUCUUUUAUGGGUUGGAAUGGUCUAACAGAAACAAAAUAAAAGCUUUCUAAAGGCCUGAAGCCUUCAUGCUUUCACAUUUUCCUCCAGAACAUCUGGUCUGUGACUCCCAGAAAUAGGAUCCUGAGCAAGAUGGAAUGUGGACUUGAUCUCAUUUGGCAUUUUGGUUUCCCCUCACACAGUCCAAGCUCCAGCAGUCAACAACAAUUUGAGGUGUGUGAGAAGAGUACCACCCAGCAAAAUUUGGAUGCUCUGCAAUGUUCAGCCAAAAAUUCUUCCCAUCAUCAGUUGCAUUGCCUUCGCAACACUUUUCAAGCCGUUUCUUUCAGGGUGCCUGCAGGAAAAGCUUUAAUUCCCUCUGUAUUGUUCUCUGGAAGAAGCAUAGUGUAACUGGGAUUGCUUUUUCUCAUACAGAACAACACAAUGCCUGCUAGCCUGGUUAUCCAAAAUAUAGCUUUAUUGUUGGGGAAAGACCUUAAUGAGGAAGAAAAAAAAACUAUUUAAUAAAGUGCAUCAAGUGCCCUUGGGAAAAAUUAGCACACAAUGACUUCUUGUGCCGCCAAUUGAAACAGCAGAUUGGUGUAGUGAUAGGCUUCACAGGAAAUAUUAAAAAAGCACAGAUGGCUCAAGUUUACAUGUUUACAAUGGAGUUGGAACAGCAGCUAAAACCUUCCAGCAUAGUAUAAUUUACUACAAGGUCAUAGACCUAGUGGUUGAGAAUGAACCUGAAGACUAUUGUAAACACACUAUUAGGGUUUGUAGAGGUUUAAUCCCAGCAUUUUUCAUUCUUUUCUGCAAUAUGAUAUUUGAAGCAGCAGGCUGCAGCAUUAGUGAGAAGAGCUACUUCAAGCGUGGAAAAAUGUGACAUUCUGCUGGUGUGUGUGGGGCUGAGCUGUUUCAGGAGCUGGAAGAGCAUUGUGUAAUUGCUACUGUUACUAUGUAAUUAGAAGCUUUUUGGCACUAAGCUGUGAUUCAGUUUGCAGUGUGAUUAAGAGACAUACUGAAAACUGUAACUAGAAAUGAGCUGCUUCAGCAAUUAUGGGAGUCUCUGCUGUGGGUGUAGAAGCAGUGGUUCGCAACAACCUGAGGAAGGCUGGCUGGUGGCAGAGAUUCCCCUGGGCUCUGCUGUGAUCUUCCUUUAGGGCCUAGGUUUAACAGGGAUGUUUGCUUAUUUAGGUACCUGGAAGAAAUGCUGAUAUGUUUGUUCACGUUUUUAAAAGUUUGGUGGUGGGAUCUAGUAGAUAUGUAGCUAUGGUUUAGAGCAGGGCACUUGACAGAGAUACUUUGAGCUUCCCAGGUGUACUUUUCAUCAUCUAUGGCUUCUUUUUGUUCGGACUGUCAGCUCUUCAGAACAGGAACAGCAGCAUCCAAAACCCAAACAGAAGAUGGGUUUUAAUAACGUCUGUUACAGGUUAUAGCGUGAGGUAAUAGCAUGGGGUCACUGAACAGAUGGGUGAGCAGCCCCUACUAGCAGAGGACUAACUGCAUUUGGUGAUAGUUAACCUUAUAGCAUUUGAAUUUCGUGGAUUGUUUCCUAUGGAAGUUAGCAGUCUGGAUUAAUGGAGCAUCUCCUUAACUUAAUGACAGUUUAAUGUGGAACCAUUUUCUGGCUCCAUUGCAGAUUGAACUAUUUUGUUUACUUAAAAUAAUCCCUAACCUGUGGAGAUGGUUCUAGCAGUGCUUCUGGCUCAGGCAAUGAGCAUAAGUCUGAAGCUGUAGAAAGCCCUAAACAAAUACGUAAUGAAAUCUAGCUCAUUUAUUUCCCUUUGUGAAGGGGGAUUUUUUUAGAGCAUGAUGCAAAGCACCUUGGUAUUAUCUCCUUCCAUCAGAAAGGCAAACUGGGAUGCAGAGAUGAAGUGAUUUGCCAGACAUGCAUUACAGUUUGCGCAUCAACAAUAACUUACAGAUUUCUCAGUCAAACAUUCUAUCCUUUGGACCACAGCUACUGGAUUGCACUCAGUGGGUUCUCAUCUGCUGCAUCUAAAUGUCACCAAUUGAAGCUGUCAGCCUGGGAGCAGCUUUUUUUCCUCCUUGCGUGUGUUCAUGUAAAUUUGGACAGCAUUAGUUUCAUUUAACAAGCUCUUGUAGUAUCAUUGAAAUCACUUGAUAGUUAAAUCAUGUUAAAUUAAAACUGACUGCUGCUGCCAUGUCAUCAAAUCAGCAAUACAAUAGGUCCAUUAUUAACUGAAUAUUUACUUUGCAGAAGAUUAUCUUCCUCAUUAUAUAGUUGACUUCACCUGGGAUUGUUAAAAUAGGUGAGUUGAAGCUGGGGUUCUUGGCUAAUCUGGUGCUGAUCUACAUGGCAAUAUCUCCAUGUGAAUUUUACCAAAUGAAACCUACGUGACUCACGGUACAAAAAUCUCAACCAAUAACAUGAGCUCAUUAAGCACAAAUCAAUCACUAUAGUGACUAACAUCACAACGUGUCAAGGAGCACUACAAAAAACAGGAAACACUUUCUGGGUGAAAGUGCCCAUCGCGUGUAACUUUUCAAGCAGAGCUUGUUGCUGGAGAUGCUGAAGGGCUAGAGCAGAUGGUGAGGGCUGUUCCAGGACAGGAUCCAUGAUGAGUUAAGUGAUUUUUGGACAAACUUGCUUUUUAUUUACUUGGCAAUCUCUUCCCACCCCUUGCAGCAUGGGCCAGAAGCCUGGUAGUGAGUCUUAAGAUAUCUGGAGUUAUUUUAAUCUCUCUGUCUCUACUGGUGACUGUGCAUACCUGUCAUAUACCAUAUCACAGUGUGAAAAUACCUAUGUCUCUGUAUGCAGGAAGGAGAAGUGAAGUAUAAUGCACUGUUGCUCUUACCCAAAUCAGAAGGAAGAAGCAGUCCAGCUUCCUCAAACUAAGGUCAAGAGCCAAACACCCUCUGAUGAUUAGUUCUCUUUAAACAGCUAAGGCUAAUCUGUGGUGAUGUUGAGCAUGCACAAAAGCAAGACUGUAGGAUCAUGCUCAGCAUUGCUUUGGCCUUGUGCAGCCUUUCUGGGCCUGCCUUCAGCUUGUUCUGGGAAUGCUCCCAACCAAAAUUCCCAAUUCCCUGUGUGAGUAGCUUUUGAAACAUCUCAGACUAAUCUGCGGGGUGUACUAUGCCACCACUGCGAUUAAUGAUCCUCUGUGAAUCCUGAAUUCAGGUGGCAUUUCAAGGUGAGCAUCUCAUAGUUGAACAGGUUUUCUGUGGAUGCUCAUUGUCCUGGCUGUGAGAACUGCAGGGCAUGUGCUGAAGAAUGCUGUAAGAUGGAGGUGGACAAGUUUUGUGUCCUAGGGUCAGCAUCAUCAACCCUGAUAAUUUUGGUGACUUUGUUUUGCACAUCAGUUCAGUGCCACAGAAUAUCAUGAGCUUCAGAUAAUCUGCACAGGCUUUAUUUAGUCUGUACGUGUGGGUGUAUGCGAGAGGAGAUUGAAGGCCUGUUGUGAUUCUCCUACUCGCUUCUGAUCUGGGGAUAGAAAGGUUUAAUACCAAAUUCAUGUUGUGCUGUCCCAUGUGUGGCAGCAUGUCUUGUGUAUCUCAGCGAGUCAUUCCCCAGGCAGUUUGAGCUUGGUUAACAGUGGCUACUGUUCAUCCCGUGUUGGCAGUCUGAGAGCUUCCACGCUGAUGAACGCACUCCUAAUGACCACAAGGGAAGGAAUACAGAGAAAUGAUUUCUGUUCUUCAUUGUGGAGAACAAUGUAUCUCCUAUUAAUUGCAGUGGGAUCUAGGCUGGAUCGUGCUGUGGCUGCUGUUAAUCACUUAUGAAUUGGUAUGUCUGACAAUAAAGCAGUCUACUAGAUCUUCAUCUUCAUUAUACGCAUAACGAACAUGUAUAUUUAUACACAGGCACAGAGUUAUGUAAGUUCAUAACCUUCUUUUGCUUGUUAGCAGUAGCUUUGGUUUAUAGAAAGGAUAGCAUUGUAUUGGACCCCAUCAGGCACUCGAUGUGUAUGUUUGUACGGGCCAGGGUUCUACACAGUGUAAAUCAGUGAUAGCCCUUAAGUUCAGUGAUGAAUAUCGGUUGAGGGUAGACUGCUGCUAUUUACAGCACAAACCCUGCUGUGUUUUAUGUUUUGAUAAAAACCUAAAAUAAAUUAUAGGGAAAAAAAUGUUAAAACUCCUCAGCUUAGGGACUUCUUAAGCAGAAAAUGCCAAUGUUAAAAACGCUUUAAUUUCUGAGAAGAAAGUGUAACAGGAACCUCUGGGAUGUAGAACAGACUUCAGUGAAUUCAAACGAGAAGUAACUUAUUGUUAAAAUAUAAUGUUAGUUAGGGGGAGGUGUAGCAAACCACCAAGGGAAGCAGUGGUCUCUGUGUUUCCUCUUUAAGAAUGAAUUAUUUUUUUGGGAAAAUAUUUUCAAUCCAGACUAAGUUAGCAGAAUUCAUGUAGAAAAACUGGCCUUUGUUAAACAAAAGAUUGGGACUAGAUGAUCUAGAUCAUCUCUUCUGGCCUUUAACCCUGUGAGUCUUACUAUGUGUUUACAUAAAUCCCAGCACGAUGAAUUCU